UCUAGAUGUUACAUGUUGCGUGAGGUUCACCCAUCUUUGUUGGUUCACAAAAAGAUUACUUUGUUGGAUCUGAGUUGUUGUACAAGUCUUACAACUCUUCCAAACCGGAUUCAUAUGGAAUCCCUAGAACAACUUCGACUAUGUGUUUGCUGCAAAUUGGAGAAGUUUCCAGAUAUUGUAGGAAGUAUGGAUCGUCUAAAUUUCCUUUCUUUAUCAAACACUGCUAUUAAAGAACUGCCAAAGUCAAUUGAACGUUUGAGUAGACUUAAAGAUUUUUUGUUGCCAGGCUGCAAAAAUCUUGUGAGUCUUCCAGUCACUAUAAAUGGUUUGAGUGGACUUGAACGAUUUAGUCUUGCUGGAUGCUCCAAAGUUGAUAACUUGCCAAUGGCGUCCCUUUUUCUUAUGAAGAAUCUUACAGAAUUAGAUUUUAGUGGAUGCAAAGGGCCGCCAUCAAAAUCUCAGUUUUCAGUCUUCUUCAAGGCUUUUAGAUUGCCCACUUUGUCAGAUUUUUGCAGAUCUUUAAAAACAUUGGUUCUGAGUGACUGCAAUAUGGAGGAAGAAGCGAUUCCUAAUGACUUUUUCUGUAGCUUUUCUUCAUUACGAACGUUAGACCUCAGCAAAAACAAUUUUGUUUCACUGCCUGGAAGCAUCAAUCAUCUUUCUGAGCUUUACUAUCUUGACUUCAACGGUUGUAAGAGACUUCGAUCUCUACCGGAACUUCCAUCCAACAUAGAAUAUAUUAACGUAAAUGGUUGUGUUGCACUGGAAACAACAUCAAAUGCAUUAAGGUUAUGCAAUUCCAAGCUGUUUGAUUUUUUAUGUAUAAACUGCUUGAAAUUGACUAAUCUAGCAUCUUCAAUGCCUAGAGAAUCCCUUAAGGCAAUGCCAGAUCCUCAGCCAAUGUUCAUGCAAGAUCCUAGCAUGGUUUUUCCCGGAAGUAAAAUUCCAGACUGGUUCCAACAUAAGAGUGAGGCGUCUUCAAUUAAAAUGGAAGGGCCUCCAGAUUCUUAUGAUAACAAGAUGGUGGGAUGUGUUGCCUGCUGUGUUUUCGAUUUCCAUGAGCGUCAGAGUCAAGAUGAGGAUGAAGACACGACUAUACAUGCAAUGCGCUGCGAUGCGACCGGUAACAAAUGGAAUGCUGCUGCGAUUAGUUUUCGCGAGUAUUGGGGCAAGACUGUGUCAGAGCAUCUUUGGCUAACCUAUUUUCAUGAAGAACUCUUUCAAGAUUUUGUUGAGCUUUCAUUUUUUUCACAUGAUCCAGCAUUGGCGGUGAAGAGGUGUGCGAUCCAUCCAGUAUACGAGAAAGAACUGAAAGAAUUGAAGAAAAGGACCAACAAAUCUAGUAGCUCUAGUUUUGGGAAUCUAUAUGAGUUUGAUGAAUAUUUUACCGGAUCAGCAGUGGAUGUUGACUGUGAUAGGUCAGAAGACGAACCAAUCUCCAAGAUAAUAACAUCUCCAAAUUUCACAUAUGGCGAAUCGAGCUCAAGGUCUCGAGUGAAUGAGAAAAAAAUAGAAGAGUAUUCUGACGAUGAAGAUGAACCACCAUCAAAAAGAUUAAAAGAAUUAUAAUCCUUCAGCUUUAGAAUCUUCUAAAGCCUACAUCUUAUACAGUGCCGUUUUACAAAUAUAUUGAAUUCUUCCCAGGUAAUUGUAUAAGAAGUUUUAAGGCUGGCCAAACGAGCAGCAUGCCACCAUGGUGAAUGAAAAGACCCAUCCACCUGCGAGGGCCCCAUCAGAAAUAUUCCAAGAAAAGAUAAUCAUCCAUAGUAUAGUUACAGAAUUGAAUGAAAUUUUCUAAAUGCAUGUCGAGAAACCUUGUAAAUGCAUAUCUCUAGAAGAUGAUUUAAGAUUCACAUCCGCAAAAACCAAUGUAUCCCAACUAAUUAUUUAGUUAAUGUGUUAAAACGUAUAAACCUAUAUAAAUUCUCAUCGCUGACAGAUUGUUUUGUCAUUCAAUUUUCCAAAAUAUGGGUCAAAAUUCACUGUCAACAUAAAUCGAAAAAUAAUAACAUAAAUAAAAGGUGUAAAAUCUCUCAAAACAUGGGCUCUCACUUUAAAUAAGCAUAAAGUUCUUUUCUUUUUUUUCCCCCUAUUUGA